AUUGAACGCUGGCGGCAGGCCUAACACAUGCAAGUCGAGCGGCAGAAGGGAGCUUGCUCCUGGAUUCAGCGGCGGACGGGUGAGUAAUGCCUAGGAAUCUGCCUGGCAGUGGGGGAUAACGUCCGGACACGGGCGCUAAUACCGCAUACGUCCUGAGGGAGAAAGUGGGGGAUCAUCGGACCUCACGCUCUCAGAUGAGCCUAGGUCGGAUUAGCUAGUUGGUGGGGUAAGGGCCUACCAGGGCACCGAUCCGUAACUGGUCUGCGAGGAUGAGCAGCCACCCUGAACCUGGAAACCGUUCCGACUCCUAAGGGAGGGCGGAGUUGGGAAUAUUUGGACAAUGGGCGAAAGCCUGAUCAAGCCAUGCGGGUGGUGUGAAGAAGGUCUUCGGUUGGUAAAGCACUUUAUGGUGGGAGAAAGGGCAGAAAGUUAAUACCUUGCUGUUUGGCCGUAACCAACAGAAUAGGCACCGGCAAACUUCGU
rnacentral:rRNA from 1 species